CUGGCUCAGGAUGAACGCUAGCUACAGGCUUACACAUGCAAGUCAGGGGCAGCGCGGGAGAAGCUUGGCUUUCCUGGCGGCGACCGGCGCACGGGUGCGUAACAGGUGUGCAAUCUGUCCAUAGUCGGGGGAUAGCCCAGCGAAAGCUGAAUUAACACUCCAUGUGAAUCGAAGCCGCAUGACUUUGAUUUGAAACGCAAGGACUAUGGGUGAGCACGCUUCUGAUUAGGUAGUUGGUGGGGUAACGGCCCACCAAGCCGACGAUCAGUAGGGGUUCUGAGAGGAAGGUCCCCCACAUUGGAACUGAGACACGGUCCAAACUCCUACGGGAGGCAGCAGUGAGGAAUAUUGGUCAAUGGGCGAGAGCCUGAACCAGCCAAGUCGCGUGAAGGAAUGAAGGUUCUAUGGAUUGUAAACUUCUUUUGUCCGAGGGUAAAAAAGGCCACGUGUGGCUUCUUGCAAGUAUCGGACGAAUAAGCAUCGGCUAACUCCGUGCCAGCAGCAGC
rnacentral:rRNA from 1 species